UACGUAGGGGGCAAGCGUUGUCCGGAAUCAUUGGGCGUAAAGCGCGUGUAGGCGGUUCGGUAAGUCUGCUGUGAAAAGUCCAGGGCUCAACCCUGGGAUGCCGGUGGAUACUGUCGGACUAGAGUACGGAAGAGGCGAGUGGAAUUCCCGGUGUAGCGGUGAAAUGCGCAGAUAUCGGGAGGAACACCAAUUGCGAAGGCAGCUCGCUGGGACGUCACUGACGCUGAGACGCGAAAGCGUGGGGAGCAAACAGGG
rnacentral:rRNA from 1 species